GGGCGAAAGCCCUGAUGCAGCGACGCCGCGUGAGGGAUGACGGCCUUCGGGUUGUAAACCUCUUUCAGCAGGGAAGAAGCGAAAGUGACGGUACCUGCAGAAGAAGCGCCGGCUAACUACGUGCCAGCAGCCGCGGUAAUACGUAGGGCGCAAGCGUUGUCCGGAAUUAUUGGGCGUAAAGAGCUCGUAGGCGGCUUGUCACGUCGGUUGUGAAAGCCCGGGGCUUAACCCCGGGUCUGCAGUCGAUACGGGCAGGCUAGAGUGUGGUAGGGGAGAUCGGAAUUCCUGGUGUAGCGGUGAAAUGCGCAGAUAUCAGGAGGAACACCGGUGGCGAAGGCGGAUCUCUGGGCCAUUACUGACGCUGAGGAGCGAAAGCGUGGGGAGCGAACAGGAUUAGAUACCCUGGUAGUCCACGCCGUAAACGGUGGGAACUAGGUGUUGGCGACAUUCCACGUCGUCGGUGCCGCAGCUAACGCAUUAAGUUCCCCGCCUGGGGAGUACGGCCGCAAGGC
rnacentral:rRNA from 1 species